AGCCAGGACUCGAACUCAGGCCAUCUGAUGUCAGAGUCCAGGCUUAUUACCCACCUAUUCUACCUACGGUAAGAGAAAGCACGGCCAGAGAGUCACCUAGCUUGUGUUCUUUUCAGUGCCUCGAAAUAUAAGGGCCCUUAGCAAAGUGCUGGCGCAUAGUAAGUGCUCAAUAAAUUAUGAUAAAUUAUUUUUAUGAGCAGCCAGGAACCAGCUAGGCUAUGGCCUGCCUGAGCCCCCAGCAAAGGCUCUGCGGGAGGCAGAAAAUGCAUGUUCGGGAAGAAAAUUGAUUUACGUCAGAUGCCAAGCAGUCAGAAAUAACUGGCAGCAGAGGAAAGACCAGACAGAAUGUGUGAUCGAUGAUCUGGUUUCCAUCUCUACUGACUAGCUGGAGUCUUCUAGACUUGUUAUAUCAUUGGAAUCAACCGGCAGAAUACACCCAGUGGAAGGAAGUACCUCAACUCCCAGAACCAAAUUUCCACUACCAAUGGUUGUUGUGGCCACUUGGUGAAUUAAAAAGAAUCACCCUUUCCUCGGAGCUCUUCACUGUCAACUGCCCCAAAACAGUCCUGGGUAGGAUGACACUACAGUCAAUACUGCCCCGUGGAUUUGUGAAAUGAACAACCUGCUCAACAGCACAGAUCCAGUGACUCUACCUGUGCCCACCCCCUCCCCACCCUCACCCCCCACCUUCUUUCCCAGGGUUACUACCCGAGAUCGGUCCCUCCACCUGUGUUCUGCACACCCCUCUCCUCCCAUCCUGUCGUCUUUGCCCUCAUAAACUAUU